rnacentral:rRNA from 1 species
UACGUAGGGAGCAAGCGUUGUCCGGAAUCAUUGGGCGUAAAGCGCGCGUAGGUGGCCUCAUAAGUCCGUUGUGAAAGUCAAAGGCUCAACCUUUGAAAGCCGAUGGAUACUGUGAGACUAGAGUACGGAAGAGGCGAGUGGAAUUCCUGGUGUAGCGGUGGAAUGCGUAGAUAUCUGCAGGAACACCCGUGGCGAAGCGGCGCGCCUGGACACUACUGACGCUGAGAAACGAAAGCUAGGGGAGCAAACAGG